AUGCUAUUUUAUAGCUUCAAGAAGAGUACAUGAAUUCCAAAAGGAAAAAAGCAACUUUAUGCAAGUGCUUUGCUUAAAAAUAAUGUGUACAAAAAAUCAUCCAUGGCUAGAGACUCUUAUCACUAUUAAUGAUAACAAGAGAACUUAUCUCUACAGGAAAGAGCUUGAACCUCACUGAACACUGGAAUUCAGACAAGAGGUGAUGAGUGUGAUAUAUUUCAGAGCAGGGGUGAAAAGCAAAUGGUCCCUAUUCAGGGAGUACAAACUCUGAGAGUAUUUGGAAAGAAAAGUGUGGGGCUGAGCUUUGCACCACCAAAGCCCAACCAAGUUUCCUCUUUGCCCACUCCCUCAGCCAUGAGGCCAGAGAGAGAAGAGGCUGGACGUCAAAGAAUGGUGAAAAAAACUGAAGAAGCUGUCAAGAUAUCACCAAUAAAAACAGAACAGAAAGUUUGAAAAUCCAAGGUGUAGAAAAUGAAUUCAACUUGUUUCGAAUGAGCCUAAAAGAUAGAGCCAAAAUCAGCAGGUGAAAGUUUCAGAAAGACCAGGCACUGUUAAAAUCAAGGAGGAUCUCAAUAACCAUGGGUCUGCAAAGGAAAAGGACAACACAAUGAGCUCCCUCUGAAGGUACCCUUGCAACAGGCU
rnacentral:lncRNA from 1 species